GCUGACGAGUGGCGAACGGGUGAGUAAUAUAUCGGAACGUGCCCUAGAGUGGGGGAUAACUAGUCGAAAGAUUAGCUAAUACCGCAUACGAUCUACGGAUGAAAGUGGGGGAUCGCAAGACCUCAUACUCAUGGAGCGGCCGAUAUCUGAUUAGCUAGUUGGUGGGGUAAAAGCCUACCAAGGCAUCGAUCAGUAGCUGGUCUGAGAGGACGACCAGCCACACUGGGACUGAGACACGGCCCAGACUCCUACGGGAGGCAGCAGUGGGGAAUUUUGGACAAUGGGCGCAAGCCUGAUCCAGCAAUGCCGCGUGAGUGAAGAAGGCCUUCGGGUUGUAAAGCUCUUUUGUCAGGGAAGAAACGGACUGGGUUAAUACCUUGGUCUAGUGACGGUACCUGAAGAAUAAGCACCGGCUAACUACGUGCCAGCAGCCGC
rnacentral:rRNA from 1 species